UACGUAGGGGGCAAGCGUUGUCCGGAUUUAUUGGGCGUAAAGCGCACGCAGGCGGUCUUGUAAGUUUGGAGUGACAGGUGGUGGCUUAACUGCCACAGGCCGUGGAAAACUGCAAGACUUGAGGACUUCAGAGGGAUGCGGAAUUCCAGGUGGAGCGGUGAAAUGCGUAGAGCUCGGGAAGAACAUCGGUGGCGAAAGCGCUCUGCUGGACUGCAACUGACACACAGGGACGAAAGCUAGGGGAGCAAAUGGG
rnacentral:rRNA from 1 species